AUUCUGUUUGAUCCUGGCAGAUGCUACUGCUAUUGGGAUUCGAUUAAGCCAUGCAAGUCGAACGAGUUUAGGCUCGUGGCGUACGGCUCAGUAACACGUGGAUAACCUACCCUUAGGACCGGGAUA
rnacentral:rRNA from 1 species